UACAGAGGUCUCAAGCGUUGUUCGGAUUCAUUGGGCGUAAAGGGUGUGUAGGCGGCGCGGUAAGUCGGGUGUGAAAUCUUGGAGCUUAACUCCGAAACUGCAUUCGAUACUGCCGUGCUUGAGGACUGGAGAGGAGACUGGAAUUCAUGGUGUAGCAGUGAAAUGCGUAGAGAUCAUGAGGAAGACCAGUGGCGAAGGCGGGUCUCUGGACAGUUCCUGACACUGAGACACGAAGGCCAGGGGAGCAAACAGG
rnacentral:rRNA from 1 species